rnacentral:rRNA from 1 species
UACGUAGGGUGCGAGCGUUAAUCGGAAUUACUGGGCGUAAAGCGUGCGCAGGCGGUUCGUUGUGUCCGUCGUGAAAGCCCCGGGCUUAACCUGGGAACUGCGUCUGAUACUGGAUGGCUUGAGAUUGGGAGAGGGAUGCGGAAUUCCAGGUGUAGCGGUGAAAUGCGUAGAUAUCUGGAGGAACACCGGUGGCGAAGGCGGCAUCCUGGACCAACACUGACACUGAGGAGCGAAAGCCAGGGGAGCAAACAGG